rnacentral:rRNA from 1 species
CCUACGGGAGGCUGCAGUGGGGAAUAUUGCACAAUGGGGGAAACCCUGAUGCAGCGACGCCGCGUGAGUGAAGAAGGAUUUCGGGAUGUAAAGCUCUAUCAGCAGGGAAGAAAAAAGAGGGUACCUGACGAAGAAGCGCCGGCUAACUACGUGCCAGUAGCCGCGGUAAUACGUAGGGGGCAAGCGUUAUCCGGAUUUACGGGGUGUAAAGGGAGCGUAGACGGUAUGGCAAGUCGGAAGUGAAAGCCCAGGGCUUAACCCUGGGACUGCUUUGGAAACUGUUAGACUAGAGUGCUGGAGAGGUAAGUGGACUUCCUAGUGUAGCGGUGAACUGCGUAGAUAUUAGGAGGAACCCCAGUGGCGAAGGCGGCUUACUGGACAGUACCUGACGUUGAGGCUCGAACGCGUGGGGAGCAAACAGGAUUAGAUACCCGGGUAGUC